rnacentral:misc_RNA from 1 species
UUUCCGUAGGUGAACCUGCGGAAGGAUCAUUAAAGAGACGUUGCCCUUCGGGGUCGACCUCCCACCCUAUGUUUAUCAUACCUCUGUUGCUUUGGCAGGCCCGUCCUCGGACCGUCGGCUCCGGCCGGCCCGUGCCUGCCAGGGAACCUAAAACUCUGUUUGUUAAUGCAGUCUGAGUACUAUAUAAUAGUUAAAACUUUCAACAACGGAUCUCUUGGUUCUG